AGAGUUUGAUCAUGGCUCAGGACGAACGCUGGCGGCGUGCUUAACACAUGCAAGUCGAGCGAUGAAGCACCUUCGGGUGUGAAUUAGCGGCGAACGGGUGAGGAACACGUGAGAAAUCUGCCUUCAACUCUGGGAUAACUCCGUGAAAACGGGGCUAAUACCGGAUAUGAAACCUGCGGGCAUCCGCGGGUUUGGAAAGUUUUUCGGUUGAAGAUGAUCUCGCGGCCUAUCAGCUUGUUGGUGAGGUAAUGGCUCACCAAGGCGACGACGGGUAGCCGGCCUGAGAGGGCGACCGGCCACACUGGGACUGAGACACGGCCCAGACUCCUACGGGAGGCAGCAGUGGGGAAUAUUGGGCAAUGGAGGAAACUCUGACCCAGCGACGCCGCGUGCGGGAUGAAGGCCUUCGGGUUGUAAACCGCUUUCAGCAGGGAAGAAGCGAAAGUGACGGUACCUGCAGAAGAAGCACCGGCUAACUAUGUGCCAUCAGCCGCGGUAAUACAUAGGUGCAAGCGUUGUCCGGAUUAUUGGGCGUAAAGAGCUCGUAGGUGGUUCGUCACGUCGGAUGUNAACUCUGGGGCUUAACCCA
rnacentral:rRNA from 1 species